rnacentral:lncRNA from 1 species
AAUUUUUAUUUAUUUUUUCACCUUUUUAGGGCUGUACCUGAGGCAUACGGCGGUUCCCAGGCUAGGGGUCGAAUGGAAGCUGUAGCCACUGGCCUUCGCCACAGCCCAGCCACGCCAGAUCCAAGGCAUGUUUGUGACCCACACCACAGCUCACAGCAACGCCAGAUCCUUAAGGCACUGAGUGAGGUCAGGGAUCAAAGUCAUGUCCUCAUGGAUCUUAGUCAGGUUUGUUAACCACCAAACCACGACGGGAACUCCCCUUGUUUAUAAAUUUAAGCCCUUGUCUUUCUUGAGACAACUUGAUCCUGUUUUUUCCUCCGUAUUUGAAACUCUUUUUCCUUGGUUCUCUAACAUGAGGCUCCUGCUUUUCUCUCCCUCUCAUUUUUUUCCCUCCUUGCUGAACUCAUACAUGUUUAGCCACCCAUUAGUUUUGAAACUUCCAAAUACUUUUCACAGGUCCUUUUCUCUCACCCUGGUCUCUUCCCAAGCCUCAUCUGCAUUCUUGAUCCUUGGCUUCAGUUUGUGGAGGGUUUUUUUUUUUGUUUUUUUGCUAUUUAAUGCCACACCGGAAGCACAUGGAAAUCCCCAGGUUAGGGGUUGAAUGGGAGCUGCAGCUGCUGGUCUACACCACAGUGAUGCUGGAUCUGAGCCACAUCUGCGAUUUACACUGCAAUGCAAGGCAACUUCUUAACCUCCUGAGCAAGGUCAGGGAUCAAACCCGCAUUCUAAUGGAUACUAGUCGGGUUCUUAACCUGCUGAGCCACAAUGGAACUCCAGAACAUUUGCUUUAACCUAUGGAUAUCCAACAUAAAGGGAGAGAGUGCCCAGGAACUUAAGUGUUCCAGCUUACAGGUAAGAAUGAGGACAAACAGGAAUACACCAUCCUGACACUGUUGAGGGAGGGAAAGUAACCUGCUCAGUUACCAUUUAGCCUAGGUGGUUUCUCCAUGAGAUGUGUACCAUGCCUGUGGGUAGAGAUUACAAAACUUUAGCCUUCAAAACUCAAGGAUGACAGCACUGAGCACCCCAGGACUAAGACAGAAAGGUGGUCCGCACCUGCGGCACAGGGAGGCUCCCAAGCUGGGGGUCCAAUCAGCUAUAGCUGCCAACCUACACCACAGCUCAUGGCAACGCCAGAUCCAAGCUGCAUCUGCGACCUGUGUGCAGCUUGGGCCAAUCCGAUCCUUAACCCACUGAGCAAAACCAGGGAUCAAACCCGCGUCCUCAUGGACCCUAGUCUGAUUUGUUGCCGCUGAGCCACAACGGGAACUCCUUUUUUGUUUUGGUUACAAUGCUUUCACCUCCAAGUAUGACUCUGUUGUAGGAAGCUCUAUAUGCUCAAUGUGCAGAAACCUGAAUUAAUCAGUAUUGUAGUCCCAUUUAAGUCACUAUGAAGACAACACAACAGGCCUGAGACUGCUAUUCUUUGAGCUUGCAAGAUUCACCCUGGGCCGGUGUUGGAGACGUUAGAUUUCAGAUUUCCCACCAGGCCCAGAAAUGAGGGGUGGCUCAGUGUAUCCAAGUAUGUUGUGUAACCAGGCGGCUUAUGCCACACUGUCCUUCUGGAGGCCCAGAAUGUGCUGUGCUAUAGUGCCCCCAAGAAACCCGGGGCACCAGGUCUCUGCUCCCUGAGUAGACAGUCUCAUCUAUUCCUCCCUGAUGGAGCUUAAAUUAAGCAUGUCUUGUGUGACUUUCCUGAGACAGGACCACAGUGAUUGUCCCUGGUUUCCUCUGGAUUUCAGUCCUUGGGCCGAGUUUGCUCUUUUCGGGCUGAUAAAGUGUGGCUGUUGAGUGUAACGACAUGCUGACUGCUGAGUCUCCUAGCAAAUCACUGAACCUGAGGGUGGUCCUGAUACAAUCAUUCGUUAUGACUUCAAUCUGGUCACAAAAGAGUGUGGAUUUUCUUCCAGGUCAACAUAUGUUUUAUACAGUGUCAACUAUAUAUAUAGCUUUGUGUCAACACUGUGAGCGAGCCAAACAUUACAAUAAAAAUACCCUACUGUGUAACCAUUCACUGCAAUGCACAUGUACUGAAGUCUACAGAGAGAACAGAAUGGGACAGUGGUUGGAUGUGGGGAUGAUGAAAAAUGGCUGCAAGGUGUUUGGCUUGAGCAAAAAGGCCAAAAACAGUGGGAAUCACUGAGAAUCUGGGCACCUCGAACACAAAGCUGGAAGCCAAAUCCACACCUUAGUCCGCCUACCUCCCAAUGGUUGCCCUGCAAACCCAGUUACAAGAGAUCAGGCAGCCAGUAAGGACAGAGUUUGGUAAAGUCAAGAUGCUCUGUCAGAGGAGAAAGGCCUUCUACAAAAGAUCAAGUACACUCGCCUGCCCUACAAGAGAGAGGCGAAGAGGCGAAGUGGUAAGAGCAUGGAUCCUGCAGCCGGUCUACCUAACUCUAAUCUCAAGUCCCACACUUCCUAAGGAAUCGUGGAACCUUGGACAAACUCCUUAACUUUUCCAUGACUUAAUUUUCUGAUCUAUAGCAAAUGCACAUUUCCUACCACAUCUUACUGCAAAGGUUAAGAGCUGGUGUGUGGGAGUUCCCGUUGUGGCACAGUGGAAACAAAUCCAACGAGGAAUGAUGAGGUUGCAGGUUCGAUCCCUGGCCUCGCUCUGCUAAGGAUCUGGCGUUGCCGUGGCUCUGGCAGGCCAGCAACUACAGCUCCAAUUGGACCUCGAGCCUGGGAAACUCCAUAUGCCGUGGGUGCAGCCAUAAAAAAUGACAAAAACAGCUGAUAUUUGUAAAACAAUGGCUGACAUACAGUAAUACAGUAUAUUUGCUGGGUCUUUUUGUCGGCCUACACCACAGCCACAGCUGAUCAGAGCCGCACCUGCGACCUACACCACAGCUCGCAGCAACGCUGGAUACUUAACCCAGAGAGGGGCCAGGGAUCAAACCCGAGUCCUCACAGAUACUAGUGGGAUCUUUAACCCGCUGAGCCACAAUGGGAAUUCUGUAUUUGCUGUUUUGAUUAUGGGUGUGUCACCAUCCCGUGGCCCCAUGACUCAUGCAUAUAGGCUCAGUGUGUACAGAGUAAGUGCAGGAUGGCCAGUGACAAACAUUCAACCUGGAGACAUGGAUCUGGGGGACUCUGCAGAUCACUGAGGGUAAAAUGCCUUGAGAGGGAAUUAACUCACAGAGGGAACACAUCACAAGUGAGAAAAGUAGCAGCUACUUGGGAAUAUGGAUGGAUGGAUCCUAGGAAGCAAAAUUGUGUAGUGGAUGAUGGACAAAGACCCUCUGAAGAAGGGCAGGAACUCAGAAACCAGGGGAGGACCUUCCAGAAAGAGGAGUGGGGAGCUGCUGCUGCAGUGCAAUGGGGUUGGGAGUGCCGGGACACAGGUUCGAUCCCUAGCCUGGCACAGUGAGUUAAGGAUCCAGCUUUGCCACAGCUGCGGCUUGGGUCACAAGUAUAGCUUGGAUCUGAUCCCUAACCCAGGAACUCCACAGGCCACAGGGUGGCCAAAAAAAGAAAAAAAAAAAAAAAAAGGGAAUUUUGAGAAGGCUGCUUAAGCUAGGUGACCAUGGUGGAGUCCAUUCUUGUUUGUUAGUGAUGACAGGGACAUGAGCGGGUGGGAGAGGCAGUGGACACAACAGUUACACAGGGAGAGUAAGAAGGGCCCCAUGGGCAUGUGGGGCAGAAAAGUACCUGGGGCUGAGAUGACAGACAUGGACACAGCUGACAGCUGGGGCAAAAAAAUGACAACAACAUCCAAUGUGGCGCCCAGUGUAUAGAUUCUGAGGCUAGAAGGGAGGUAAGAGGGAGAUUAAAGACCCCAGAGCGGAGGCACAGCAGACAGACAGACAGACAGAGGUCCCAAACAAGGUGGGAAGUGGGGAUGUGUUCAGUCACAAACAGGAAGUGCCACCCUCCAGCCCUGAAGCUGUAAGGAGCCUAGAGAACUAGGGGAUUUUACACACAAACCUUCCCUGGAGAACACAACUCUCAACUACCCGCAGGUCACCCUUGGCUGCAAGGUCUGUUCUCAGAAAUACUUGUGGACGCCAGUCCUUCAUUCCUUCAGUUCUUACUAGCAUUUUUAUCCUGCUAUCAAGCUAAACCACCAGAGGACCAUGACUUUGGACUACACAAUUUUGCCUGUUUUCUGUGAGUCCUUCUCUGACAUUAUAAACAAGGCAAACAUAUAGAAGAUGCAUUAAAAGAACCAAAUGGAAAUCAAACAAUUGGAAAAUUAAAAAACCCAAAUGCAAACAUACCCAUGAGGAUGCAGGUUCCAUCCCUGGCCUAGCUCAGUGGGUUAAGGAUCGGGCGUCGCCAUGAGCUGCUGCAGCAUGGAUUCAACCCCUAGCCUGGGAACCUCCAUAUGCCUCUGCUGUGGCACUAAAAAAACAAACAAAACAAAACCAAACCAAAAACCAAAAACAACAAACAAAAAACUUGAAUAACUAAAAAUUUCCCGUAUGUGACAAAGGGCACACACCACAUAAUUAAAAAAGCUAAGCAAGGGACACGGGUUCAAUCCCUGGCCUCACUCAGUGGGUUAAGGAUCUGGUAUUGCCAUGAACUGUGGU